rnacentral:piRNA from 1 species
UGAGGUGAUUAGAUGUUGUGCAGCAG